rnacentral:sRNA from 1 species
UCUUUAAUUACUUUCCACAGCUUGAAGGUUUGGAAGCCCCCGAUGGUUGCCGCCGUUGGGGUUUCGCCU